rnacentral:rRNA from 1 species
AAAAUAGAUACCCCAGGUAGUACCACNCCCUAAACCGACUGCGAACUGGAUAGUUCGGUACAACUUAACGGGUAACGUACGAGUGUCGAAGCUAACGACGUUAAGUUCGCCGCCUGGGGAGUACGGUCGCAAGACUGAAACUACAAAGGAAUUGACGGGGGCCCGCACAAGCGGUGGAGUAUGUGGUUUAAUUCGAUGCAACGCGAAGAACCUUACCUGGUCCUUGACAUCUGUCGAAUCCUGCAGAGAUGCGGGAGUGCCGCAAGGAACGACAAGACAGGUGCUGCAUGGCUGUCGUCAGCUCGUGUCGUGAGAUUGUUAGGGUUAAGUCCCGCGAACGAGCGCACCCUUGUCCCUAGUUGCCAACACGUAAUGGUAGGUAACCUCGUAGGGAGACGUGGCCGGUAGACAAACCGGGAGGAAGGUUGGGGAUGACGUCAAGUCCUNAUGGCCCUUACGGCAGGUCUAC